rnacentral:rRNA from 1 species
UGGAUCCAGACUUUGAUCAUGGCUCAGGAUGAACGCUAGCGACAGGCUUAACACAUGCAAGUCGAGGGCAGCGGGGAGCGAAGCUUGCUUUGCUCCGCCGGCGACCGGCGCACGGGUGAGUAACACGUAUGCAACCUGCCCCUGUCUGUGGGAUAAUCGGAAGAAAUUCCGUCUAAUACCGCAUAACGCCCUAAGAGGACAUCCUCUUAGGGCCAAAGGAGCGAUCCGGACAGGGAUGGGCAUGCGGCGCAUUAGGCAGUUGGCGGUGUAACGGACCACCAAACCGACGAUGCGUAGGGGUUCUGAGAGGAAGGUCCCCCACACUGGUACUGAGACACGGACCAGACUCCUACGGGAGGCAGCAGUGAGGAAUAUUGGUCAAUGGGCGGGAGCCUGAACCAGCCAAGUCGCGUGAGGGAAGACGGCCCUAUGGGUUGUAAACCUCUUUUGCCGGGGAGCAAGAGGCGCCACGCGUGGCGCCGUGAGAGUACCCGGAGAAAAAGCAUCGGCUAACUCCGUGCCAGCAGCCGCGGUAAUACGGAGGAUGCGAGCGUUAUCCGGAUUUAUUGGGUUUAAAGGGUGCGUAGGCGGGCUGUUAAGUCAGCGGUAAAAUUGCGGGGCUCAACCCCGUCGAGCCGUUGAAACUGGCGGCCUUGAGUAGGCGAGAAGUGUGCGGAAUGCGUGGUGUAGCGGUGAAAUGCAUAGAUAUCACGCAGAACUCCGAUUGCGAAGGCAGCACGCCGGCGCCUUACUGACGCUGAAGCACGAAAGCGUGGGUAUCGAACAGGAUUAGAUACCCUGGUAGUCCACGCAGUAAACGAUGAGCGCUAAUUGUCCGGGGGGAAUGACCCCUGGGUGAUACAGUGAAAACGUUAAGCGCUCCACCUGGGGAGUACGCCGGCAACGGUGCAACUCAAAGGAAUUGACGGA